CCUACGGGUGACAGCAGUGGGGAAUAUUGCACAAUGGGGGAAACCCUGAUGCAGCGACGCCGCGUGAGUGAAGAAGUAAUUCGUUACGUAAAGCUCUAUCAGCAGGGAAGAAAUACUGACCUUACGAUCAGCAGACGGUACCUGAGUAAUAAUCCCCGGCUAACUACUUGCCAGCAGCCGCCGUAAUACGUAGGGCGCAAGCGUUAUCCGUUUUUACUGGGUGUAAAGGGAGCGUAGACGGUGCGCCAAGUCUGGAGUGAAAUGCCGCAGCUUAACUGCGGAACUGCUUUGGAAACUGGCGAACUAGAGUGAGGGAGUGGUAAGCGGAAUUCCUAGUGUAGCGGUGAAAUGCGUAGAUAUAAGGAGGAACACCAGUGGCGAAGGCGGCUUACUGGACCGUAACUGACGUUGAGGCUCGAAAGCGUGGGGAGCAAACAGGAUUAGAUACCCCUGUAGUC
rnacentral:rRNA from 1 species